GUCACAUGACAUCUAUUGUUCAUCUGGUCACAUGGCAUCUAUUGUUCAUCUGGUCACAUGACAUAUAUUCUUCUGUCCCUCCAGGAGAGGGAUCUUCCUCUGAUGUACUCCCGAGGGUUUCUUCCUAUUUUGACAUUGUGCACGAUUUUUGGGAGUUUUUCCUGAUCCAAUGUGACAUCACAGGACAAAGGAUGUCGUAUGUGCAGCCCUCUCAGGCAAAUGUGUCAUUUAUGAAUUUGGGCUAUACAAAAUAAACUGAGUUGACUUAAUAGAGCUUGGCUGAGCAUUAUGAGCAUGGUGCUGCCCAUGGAUGGGGUGCUACAAUAAAAAACAUAGGGUGUUUUGUCAGUGUUCACAAAAACGUUUUCUUUCCCAGCCUGAAAUAUACCAUGCCCCCACAGCCCUGGCAGCGAAGCAUCUUCUCCAUUUUAAUAUACAAUAAAAAAAUUAACAAGAUACCAACUGCACCAACUGACCACAACUGCACAGACUGCGGCUCCAACAAAGCAGCGACUGCAUCACUGUGUGCAAUGUGUGUGCAUCCGUCUUUAUAAAUUAACCAUGGGUGAAGCAUGAUGUCCACUUGUGCAACACUAAACUAAAUGGUUACGGUUGCUUUCAUCCAGAGAGCGCUUUAUGAAUCACCUCUCAGUUUAUCCAUUCAGUUUAAACGUUACCGAGGCCAAAUAUAAAGCUUGAGGACGUUAAACUUGCACUCCAGGUGUGUUAAUAAAAUGGCACAGCUUUAGGAAGAUGAAUGAACAUCAAUGAUGAGUGGCAGCAAUCAUUACCAUCCGCAUGUUAACAGAGGUCGAGCCCCAGACACAGGCGUGUAUCAGCUCUUUGGUAAUCAUGCAUUAGUCUGGACCCGGAAGGAGCCAUGCACAGCUGGGCCACCCUCACUGUAUACAGGAGAGAAGGGGAACGGACACUGGAGCAGACAUCAUGGAUCACAGAUCAAAUGUGACAUUGAGGGAACUCAUCAAUGUGAUAAUUAAGCACUAACGUCAUGUUGUAUCGAUCUAGACCUUCUCGGGUCAUCCGUUAACAAGGCAGCGGUAAUGAGCUCGUACACGGAAACGCGUUGACGUCAUGUUACCUCCAGGGCACAUAUUCACUGCUUCACUCAGAGAUUGCGAGGCACCUGUAGUCAGCAGAAAAAGAGGGAGCAACAGGAAGAAGAAACCUUGUGAUUCUCUGGACUUUGAAGCCAACAAAGUGACCUCCAGCUGCUCCUCGUGUACAUGUUGUCUCGUGACUAAAAUGUGAAGGAAGCCAACGAGGAAGUGCUUCCUCCUUCCUCACCCCGCAGACACACAACGCCACGCAGACACACUCCACACCAUAUGUUGAGUUUUGGAUCUAUGCGAUGAGUAAAUAAACUAAAGUGAGUGUG